rnacentral:rRNA from 1 species
CUACGGGCCGCAGCAGUGAGGAAUAUUGGUCAAUGGCCGAGAGGCUGAACCAGCCAUCCCGCGUGCAGGAUGACGGCCCUAUGGGUUGUAAACUGCUUUUCUACGCCAAGAAAUCUGAUUACGUGUAAUUAGUUGACGGUAGCGUAGGAAUAAGCAUCGGCUAACUCCGUGCCAGCAGCCGCGGUAAUACGGAGGAUGCAAGCGUUAUCCGGAUUCAUUGGGUUUAAAGGGUGCGCAGGCGGGCUUGUAAGUCAGUGGUGAAAUACUGCCGCUUAACGGUAGAACUGCCAUUGAUACUGCAAGUCUUGAAUAUGGUUGAGGUAGGCGGAAUGUGUUGUGUAGCGGUGAAAUGCAUAGAUAUGACACAGAACGCCGAUUGCGAAGGCAGCUUACUAAGCCAUUAUUGACGCUGAGGCACGAAAGCGUGGGGAGCGAACAGGAUUAGAUACCCCCGUAGUC